rnacentral:lncRNA from 1 species
ACUGCCUAAUUAUCAGUCUAAUUCUCAAGGUUAUCAAUAACCAACCAGUAACUUAUCACAAAUUUUAUUUAUUUAUUCUACAUAGCCCCACUCCUUCUUAUGCAGCGUCCUCGCAAAUACACAAUUGUUACCUAUUUAAAAACUACUUAACAAAACUCUACAAAGAUACUAUUUCCUCUGGCCUACCCAAUUGAUCAUUUGCUGUAUUAUCGAAUGUGCUUUCCAUUGAAUCUAGUUCCAAUUGUAAAUCUUCUUCUUCUUCUUCCAAUCCGUCCAUCGACUCCUUCCUCAACUGGUUUGAAAGAUCUUCACUAUACUCACCCAAUUCAUAGACUUGAACUUCUAAUUUCAAGAUCUGGGCAUCACGAAGUUCUAAUUGAUGCUGCUACUGACUCAUCCAUUCUGGAACAUCUUCAAUCGACAUUUGUGACCGACUCCUCAC